CGGUUGAUCCUGCCGGAGGCCGCUGCUAUCCGGCUGGGACUAAGCCAUGCGAGUCAUGGGGCGUGAGCCGCUUCGGCGGUUCACGCACCGGCGGACGGCUCAGUAACACGUGGCCAACCUGCCCUCGGGAGGGGGAUAACCCCGGGAAACUGGGGCUAAACCCCCAUAGGGGACGGGUACUGGAAUGUCCCGUCUCCGAAAGUGCACGGUUGCCGUAAGGCGCCGUGCAGCCCGAGGAUGGGGCUGCGGCGGAUUAGGUAGUUGGCGGGGUAACGGCCCGCCAAGCCGAAGAUCCGUACGGGCCAUGGGAGUGGGAGCCCGGAGAUGGACCCUGAGACACGGGUCCAGGCCCUACGGGGCGCAGCAGGCGCGAAACCUCCGCAAUGCGGGAAACCGCGACGGGGGCAGCCGGAGUGCCCGCGCAUCGCGCGGGCUGUCGGGGUGCCUAAAAAGCACCCCACAGCAAGGGCCGGGCAAGGCCGGUGGCAGCCGCCGCGGUAAUACCGGCGGCCCGAGUGGCGGCCACUAUUAUUGGGCCUAAAGCGUCCGUAGCCGGGCUGGUAAGUCCCCCGGGAAAUCUGGCGGCUUAACCGUCAGACUGCCGGGGGAUACUGCCAGCCUAGGGACCGGGAGAGGCCGGGGGUAUUCCCCGGGGUAGGGGUGAAAUCCUGU
rnacentral:rRNA from 1 species